CAAGUUUGAAACUCAAAGGAAUUGACGGGGGCCCGCACAAGCGGUGGAUUAUGUGGUUUAAUUCGAUGAUACGCGAGGAACCUUACCAAGGCUUAAAUGGGAAUUGAUCGGUUUAGAAAUAGACCUUCCUUCGGGCAAUUUUCAAGGUGCUGCAUGGUUGUCGUCAGCUCGAGCCGUGAGGUGUUAGGUUAAGUCCUGCAACGAGCGCAACCCCUGUCACUAGUUGCCAUCAUUCAGUUGGGGACUCUAGUGAGACUGCCUACGCAAGUAGAGAGGAAGGUGGGGAUGACGUCAAAUCAUCACGGCCCCUACGCCUUGGGCCACACACGUAAUACAAUGGCCGGUACAGAGGGCAGCUACACAGCGAUGUGAUGCAAAUCUCGAAAGCCGGUCUCAGUUCGGAUUGGAGUCUGCAACUCGACUCUAUGAAGCUGGAAUCGCUAGUAAUCGCGCAUCAGCCAUGGCGCGGUGAAUACGUUCCCGGGCCUUGUACACACCGCCCGUCAAGCCAUGGAAGUCUGGGGUACCUGAAGUCGGUGACCGUAAAAGGAGCUGCCUAGGGUAAAACAGGUAACUGGGGCUAAGUCGUAACAAG
rnacentral:rRNA from 1 species